UACGUAGGUGGCGAGCGUUAUCCGGAAUUAUUGGGCGUAAAGGGUGCGUAGGUGGCACGAUAAGUUGAAAGUGAAAUACUGGGGCUCAACCCCAAGCUGGCUUUCGAAACUGUCGAGCUAGAGUGCAGAAGAGGCAAGUGGAAUUCCAUGUGGAGCGGUAAAAUGCGUAGAUAUAUGGAGGAACACCAGUGGCGAAGGCGGCUUGCUGGUCUGGAACUGACGCUGAGGCACGAAAGCGUGGGGAGCAAAUAGG
rnacentral:rRNA from 1 species